AGAUGCUGAGCAUGAAGACAAAAGCCUAUCGAAUGGGGUGUCAGAAAAGAAACAUCAAAAUAUGGAGGAUGGAAACUAGAGUCCAUGUUGGCCUUACAAGUCUUCUCUGAAUAUUCCAGAAACUAAUAGUUAAGAUUCUUUCAAAAAGGAGUAAAGCAGAGACAUUCAAAGAUGAACAGCAAUUCUGAAUGGAAAGAGGCCAGCUGUAAAACGUCAUAGAAGACCUGCAGUAGAGAUACAAUCCUGAGAAGAAUAUUUAGCAAGAAUGGGGUUUCAGAUUUCUGGUAUUUCCAUAUGGGUGGAGAUUGAAGAAAAAAAAGAAAAGAGCAAAAGUUUUCUCAUAAUGUUUUGCAACUUCUGCUUCCGGGCCCAGUCAGAGCCCAAAAGCAGCAAGAGAAGUAAAAUGAAAACACUGA
rnacentral:lncRNA from 10 species